rnacentral:rRNA from 1 species
UACAGAGGUCUCAAGCGUUGUUCGGAUUCAUUGGGCGUAAAGGGUGCGUAGGCGGCGCGGUAAGUCGGGUGUGAAAUCUCGGAGCUUAACUCCGAAACUGCAUUCGAUACUGCCGUGCUUGAGGACUGGAGAGGGACACGGAAUUCCGGGUGGAGUGGUGAAAUGCGUAGAGAUCCGGAGGAACACCGAAGGCGAAGGCAGUGUCCUGGCUGGUGACUGACGCUGAGGUGCGAAAGCUAGGGGAGCGAACGGG